AUGGAGAAAAGAACUAUCCAUGAUGCUCCUCUAUCCAUGACGUCACAGUGGCCAGAAUCCAGUCAGAACCCCGGACCUUACUGGUCAUCAGCCAUGGCCCAGCCUGCGCGUGCCCAAGACAACAGAUCACCAAAUACCUGCAGGAAAAGGCAGGGCCAUCAAGGGCCAGGCCAGGACACAUUGGAGACGCCUUGCAUGGAUGAGGAGGAAGCCUGGGAGAUGGACCCUGACUACAUCAACAAAAACCGCCAUAGUUGGGCCAACAACAAGAUCUCGACUGCUUCCAUAAUUUCUGAUCUCUCCAGAUCCAUUCAGUGCUGCUGCCUCGGGACGUCACCUCCACCUGCCAGGGCAGACUACGUCGGUUGCCAGAGACACUGCCAAGGUUGCAAAUAUUCAGCUCAGAGCCACGUCAGUCUUCCCAGGGGACAUCGGGGGGUCCCCCCGUGUCCACGCACACGCUCAUGGACAAGGCUGGGCAUUGAGCGAUCUUCUCUUUUCGACUGUAAUGCUGUGGAAAAGCUGGGCAACUUUUUCUCCAAGAAACUGAAAGCCUGGAGGUGCGAUGCUGCCCCACUGUCUGACAGCUUCGAGAACAUAAAGGCACUCCUGGAAGAAACCUCUGACCACAGCAGAUCCCAAAGCAAUGCUGGAAAGGGAGAGGCAGCCAUGGAGGGAAAGGGCAGGAAGCAGAAGCCCGGCUGGGCAACCCAUGGGAGGGGAAAGAGGGCAGCAGAGCCUGCCUGGCAUCCGCCAGAGAAUGACAGCCCAGCCAUGCACCUCCGGCCCAACACGUCUGGCAGAGGAGAGCAUUCGGGAGGCCUGCUCUUGAAGCACAGAUCCUCCCCGGCUGUGUGCAGCUCCUCCAGGAUCCUGCCCCAGUGCAGGAUCAGUCAUGUCCAAAGCUGCACAGCCUGCCAGGUGUUUAACCAGGAUCUGCCGGCUCCCUAUGAGAACUGCUGGGCCCCACGGCAAGAGGAGGGGCAGGGUGCCGCAAGAGCCCCACACCGAGUGCCAAGGACCGGGCCAUCCUCCCUCCAGCCGAUCUCAGACCGACUUUCCAAAGUGCAGCAGUGGCUGGAGAAGACUCCAGCAGAAGCACCUUCAGGCCACCCGUGGCCCCAGCAGCACGGAGCCCAGGGCUCCCCAGACUGGAAGGAAGGAGCUCUUUGGGGCAGGGCCAAAGACGCUGGGGACUGGCGAGGCCAAGAACCCUGUUCAGAGACCAGGCACAGAAGGAGGAGCCGUCCAGAAGAGCCUCAGCCAGUGGCACAGAUCCUCACCAAUGACGAGAGAAGCACCUCGCCCGCCACGUGCUCCUGCCUCUUCUGUGAGCAGCAGAGACCCCGCGCUGGGUUAGUUUCCGGGAAGACAAGAACCUACCCCUCGGCAGAGGAAGUGGCCGUCCAGCUGCAGUCUGAGAACCGCAUCCCCCGGAUUGUGGAGGCAUUUGAGCGGCGGUCCUUGUGGGAGGCCAAGCGAGCAGAGGAGGACCGAGCCUUUGGCUCCACCUGGCUGAGGGAACCCGAGAAGAAGGGCAGAAGCAAAAAGGCCCCCGGGGACGCCAAGCGGGGUCCCCAGGCAAGCUGCAAAAAGGCACAGAAAUCCCAGUCCGAGCAUGGGCUGUGCGAGGCGCCAAGGACCCAGGACCACACAAAGAGGGAGGGGGGACGCCUGCAGAAGAAGCCCAGUUUCCUGGACAGACUGCGGGGGCUUCACUAGUCUGCUGGCCGAAGAGGCUGUAAGACACUAACUGCAGACUUAGUGUAGUGUUCCAGGUGUUGUGUCUUGCCCUCCCCACAUGCAUCUACUGUAGUGAUUUCAAGCGACCCAGCCACAGUAAAACUCUUUUAUCUUCAUGUUAGUCUCAGAUGUUCAUGUAACAUCCUGAGACUACAUGUAUAUUCACAACUAUUGCAGCGACCAGGUUGGCUGGGAGUAUUCUAGGUGCUGUCGUCCAAAAUUGUAAUCCCUCCAUCUCUACAAAUACAGCAAUGGCCUGAUAGUACUUCUGUUUUUCUAAUGUAACGUUUGUUUUAUGUGGCAGAAAUUUAGCCCUGGAAGUAAAAAUGGUUAGUUUGAAAUUAACAGGAUUAUAUUUGUCAGUUUCUAUUCUGUGGUUAUAUAUUUCAAAAUACAUUGGAUGUUUACUUAAUAAAAAUGUCCCAAAGUUGGCUCA
rnacentral:lncRNA from 1 species